UCCAAGAUUAUUUCUGAUUUAGAAUUUCUUAAUUGGGGGAAUAUAAAAUAAUUUUACAUGAAGCUGCUGUAAAAGAUAUGAAAAUUUUCAUGGAACGAAAAUAAGCUAUACAGCUAAUUUCAAAGGGGGUCAUAGUCAUGAUGGAAACGACGUUAAAAGGAAAAAAAAAAUGUAAGAAGGAGACGUCAAAGAAAGGAUCUCUUUCCUCUCCGAGUGCCUAUAAGUAGCACAACUCACUCCGUCACAGAAAUCUUGCAUCAAACCAAAGUAUCUUGUCGUGUUUCUCUUUUCCUUCUCUUGUCGUGUCUUGUUUUGAGUCUCUCUCUCUCUCCCCCCCUGCUUCCAGUUCCAGUUCCAGGGAACCAGAAACCACUCAAGAGGAAGUAAAAACGACGACGAAGACGGAGAAAUUAACCUAGAAAGAGAAAUGGCAAUCAUGGAACAGAAGAUUAGCAAGAAG